GACGAACGCUGGCGGCGUGCUUAACACAUGCAAGUCGAGCGGAGCGGCGAACGGGUGAGUAACGCGUGAGUAACUGCCCCCCUCUCUGGGAUAACAGUUGGAAACGGCUGCUAAUACCGGAUAGUGGGGGAUGACUCGCGUCCUAUCAGCUUGUUGGUGGGGUAGUGGCCUACCAAGGCGACGACGGGUAGCCGGCCUGAGAGGGCGACCGGCCACAUGGGGCGGAGAUAGGGCGCAAAGGGCAACGGGAGGCAGCAGUGGGGAAUAUUGCACAAUGGGGGAAACCCUGAUGCAGAAAGGCGGGGGCGGGAGGACGGGCUUCGGGUUGUAAACCGGUUUCAGCAAUGACGCGGUAGUGGCAGAAGAAGCACCGGCUAACUACGUGCCAGCAGCCGCGGUAAUAC
rnacentral:rRNA from 1 species